rnacentral:rRNA from 1 species
AGCGGCGGAUGGGUGAGUAACACGUGGGGAACCUGCCCCUAAGUCUGGGAUACCAUUUGGAAACAGGUGCUAAUACCGGAUAAUAAAGCAGAUCGCAUGAUCAGCUUUUGAGAGGCGGCGUAAGCUGUCGCUAAGGGAUGGCCCCGCGGUGCAUUAGCUAGUUGGUAAGGUAACGGCUUACCAAGGCGACGAUGCAUAGCCGAGUUGAGAGACUGAUCGGCCACAUUGGGACUGAGACACGGCCCAAACUCCUACGGGAGGCAGCAGUAGGGAAUCUUCCACAAUGGACGCAAGUCUGAUGGAGCAACGCCGCGUGAGUGAAGAAGGUUUUCGGAUCGUAAAGCUCUGUUGUUGGUGAAGAAGGAUAGAGGUAGUAACUGGCCUUUAUUUGACGGUAAUCAACCAGAAAGUCACGGCUAACUACGUGCCAGCAGCCGCGGUAAUACGUAGGUGGCAAGCGUUGUCCGGAUUUAUUGGGCGUAAAGCGAGCGCAGGCGGAAAAAUAAGUCUAAUGUGAAAGCCCUCGGCUUAACCGAGGAACUGCAUCGGAAACUGUUUUUCUUGAGUGCAGAAGAGGAGAGUGGAACUCCAUGUGUAGCGGUGGAAUGCGUAGAUAUAUGGAAGAACACCAGUGGCGAAAGGCGGCUCUCUGGUCUGCAACUGACGCUGAGGCUCGAAAGCAUGGGUAGCGAACAGGAUUAGAUACCCUGGUAGUCCAUGCCGUAAACGAUGAGUGCUAAGUGU